rnacentral:pre_miRNA from 1 species
CUUGUACUCCCUCCGCCCGGAAAUACUUGUCAUUGAAAUGGAUGUAUCUAGAUGUAUUUUAGUUCUAGACACAUCCAUUUUGAUGACAAGUAAUUCCGGACGGAGGGAGUACUUG